rnacentral:rRNA from 1 species
AACGCGAAGAACCUUACCUACCCUUGACAUGUCUGGAAUCCUGAAGAGAUUUGGGAGUGCCCGAAAGGGAACCGGAACACAGGUGCUGCAUGGCUGUCGUCAGCUCGUGUCGUGAGAUGUUGGGUUAAGUCCCGCAACGAGCGCAACCCUUGUCGUUAAUUGCCAUCAUUUGGUUGGGCACUUUAACGAGACUGCCGGUGACAAACCGGAGGAAGGUGGGGAUGACGUCAAGUCCUCGUGGCCCUUAUGGGUAGGGCUUCACACGUCAUACAAUGGUCGGUACAGAGGGUUGCCAAACCGCGAGGUGGAGCCAAUCCCAGAAAGCCGAUCGUAGUCCGGAUUGCAGGCUGCAACUCGCCUGCAUGAAGUCGGAAUCGCUAGUAAUCGCGGAUCAGCAUGUCGCGGUGAAUACGUUCCCGGGUCUUGUACACACCG